GGGGGGAAGGGGCGGAGCCUCCCGGCCAGGGGGUGCUGGCGGCUGACAGAAAGAGCCGGGGCAGCGGGCGGGGGUGGCGACGCUGCGGGCCGGGCAGGGGGCCAGGCGUGGCGGGAGGAGCGCGCGCAGACACGGGACGCUGACAGGCGGGGAGACACACACACACGGGGGCUGACAGCCGCGGGGGCAUACGGGGUCGGAGGGCCGAGGCUGGCGCUCACCUGGCAGCGGUGGCGGCGGCGGCGCCCGCGGCCGGGCCGCUCUCCGCGCGCUCCAGGCCUCCCUCCCGGCUGGCGAGCGACCGGCUGGCCGGCCGGCGCAGACCGCGCGGAGGCGGAGGCGGCGGCGACGCCGGAGCCGCGGACGGCUGGGCGGCGGGGACGCAGCUGCACCAACCGACUCCGGGCCGCUCGGCUCGGCCCGGCCGCACUCGGAGGCGCUCGGCUCCGCUCGGCCCCUCUCGGCUCGGCUGGGGGCGUGGCCCGAGGCCCCCCGCCCAGGUCGCCUCUGGCGCCUGGAGGGGCGGGGCUUUCGUGCGGGCGCAAGCCCCCUGACGUCGCAGAGAGGACCUUACCCUGGGCGCAUGCGCGGGCGUCGCUCCCGCUUUUCUCGGCGCGGAGGCUGAGCCCGGCAGGGAAGGAGGGGGGACCGGGGGCGGAUGCUCCAUCACCGGAGGACGACUUCUGAUGACUGCUUUCCGUUAAAUCUUCAAUUGAGAACUUUCAAGCACAUCAGUUAGCCCCCUCAGCCACAGCCAUAGACCACGCUUGAGGAGGUGACAGCUCCAUCAGUCCGGGUCCUGGAGUGAGAAAACACAGCAUAAUGACCCAAGCAGACAUACAGUAUAAGCAAGAAACAAACCUUUGCUGUUUGAAAAGCAAGGCCAGGGCUUGUGUGUUACCAAAGCAAAACCUAGCCUAUCCUGACAGAUGCACCUUCCUAACAUCCAGUAU
ensembl:lncRNA